CAAAAGGGGUGGGGAGUGUUGGCUAGCUUCCCUGCCAGGCGUGGUAAAGGGUGGCACCUCUCCUAGAGGGAGGGGGCUUCACCUAGAGUCUCUCCCCAGGGACCUCCGCCGCAGGCAUCCCAGCCUUCCAGACCAAAGAGGAGAGAGAGCUUCUCUGGGGCCUGGGAAGAACCAGGGACAGUCAGCUCUGCCCAGGAAAGUGAGACAGAGGGAGAGGUGAUUCAGGGGCUCCAAGAUGCCAGGGCUGCGAGGCCUCACUGCCCUGGGCGGAGGUGAGAAAACGAGGCCCACAGAAGGAAACGGACUUGCUGUAGACCACACAGCAACACACGAAUUGCUCGAAACCUCGUGCAAAAUCAGACCUCACCUCGCACUCCGCCUGCGUCCUGCUCCGUCGGGAGAGGAGAGCGGGGUUCUUGCCCGAGUUGGACACCGUCAGGUGCGAGAUCGUGAUGAGUCAGGCCACCCAUCUGGACGCGGCCCUCACAGCUCUCAGAUUUGUGAGCCGCUGUGUGGCUUUCCGUCCUUCUCCCUCCUGGCACCAUUCCUUCUCCAGUGACAGACUGAGCAAAUCCGGGGAAGGCUGGGUUCCAGGCCGCUCGGGAGAACUCCCAGAGACUGGGAACGCUGGCGCUUCUCCAUCAGGGGCUCUCCCACCCGCCACAAGAAAAUAUGCCUGCCUUGCCAUGCACCCCAGCAACGAACUGGAUGAAGACCAGGAGAUCUGGAUUCCUGCCUCCUUUGAUUAGAUGUGCAAUUUAGGCACAUUUGAAAAAUUCUUUGGGGAGUCAGUGUCCCCCUGUGUCUAGUGGCAGUUGCUGAGCUCUACACUGUCCUGCCAGUCCCAGGCAAGAGAAAGGCCCAGGAGGAUGCUCAGAACCUAUUGCUCCCUGAUGUCCUUUUUCACUUCUGUUUGAGCUCUUGAUUACAGAUGGGUGAAAACUCUCUUCUGCUCUGCAGUCUCCUUCCCUUCUAGGACUUUGCCAGUACAGGGCCCUGUGAACUGCAGGAUCUGGCUAGAAUCUGCCUCUUACUACCUACCUACCCAGGGCCCAAUCCUACUACACUCUGCUGCCUAAAUUUAGGGCAGAAAGGGAUUUAAGAGAUUAUCUAACUCAGGGUUUUCCAAAUUUGCCUUGCCUAAAGAAUCUGGAUGCUUGUUUAAAAACACAGAUUCCUGGGUCCCUAAAUCUAUGGAAUUAGACUCUCUAGGGAAAAGAACUGAGAAUUAGCAUUUUUAACAAGGGGCCACUCCGUGCUUGAUAUAAGGGGUUGAUAGUAGAUACUUGUCAGAGGCUUAAGCAUAGAGGAUCUAAAACAAACAGCACCUUUCCUAGGGAACCACCUGGCCCCUAAGGAGUUUAUCUUCACAUUAGGAAGAUAAAGCAGGCUGUUAGAGAGUAAUUGGAUUAGCACAAAGAUUGCUCCCCUAGGGACUCCCACCCUUAGCUGACAGCACUGAAGAUUAGAGAUGCCCAGGGUCCCCAAACUGGCCUUCUGCCUGAUCAGAUACUAGAUCUCAAUACAGCCUUAAAGCUAGGUCUUCCCACAUGAGUCAGCCCACACAGUCAUUAAGGGCCUCACCCACAUUUCCUAACUUCCCCUGUUUCAGGUCCUGUCCCCAUCCAUCACCAGCGCUGCCCUCAGCCAUGUCCCCAGUCCCCUCCCCUUUCCUCUCCAACAGGAGUCCAGAAGUAGGCAAAGAAGCCCUGGGUGUCUGAUUUCUUUUUUAGGUCCUGGAGGCUAUCUUUGUCUCUAUUCAAAUUUUGGGUUUCGAAACAAGGAUGGAAGACUUCAUCUAUUUCCCCCACCUCUUCCCCAUAAUCAACUUCCUUCUCUACUUUAACCACAGAUCAAGCCAGAUUUUUCUUCUAAAAUGAUGGGGAAUUUGAAACCUCUGUCCCUCUUCCUUCCUGUUGAUUUAACCUGACCAAGUCUUCGAGCUCCAGGACAAAACUCAGGUUUCCCAGGACUUUCUCAUAGCUCUAUUCUACACUGCUCUGUCUUGCCUCUGGACUCCAACAAUAACAAUUAUUAUUCUAGCAGCUACCACUCAUUGCAUUUUUAUUAUGUCCAGGUUCUGUGCCAAGUAUUUUACAUGGAUCAUCUUAUUUAAUUCUCAUGGCAACCCUCCAAAGUAGAUUCUAUUCUUAGCCUCUUUUCACUGACUAGGAAACCAAAGGUUGGAGAGGUUAGGUAACAUACACAAGGUCACAAAAGUAGUAGAGCCAGCAGAGACUCAAACACAAGCUGGCCUGCCUGACCACAAAGCCCUUGCUUUUAACCACAGUGGCAUCUGCCUGUCUAUAGCCUUUGCUUUCUUCCAGUCCCAUUAGGGCCUGCAGCCCGUGCUAUCUUCUGUUAUCUAACGGUUUCGGUUUCUUGGGUGACAAUCUUGUAUCCCCAGUGAGACUGUCAGUUAGUUCAAACAGGCCAGCCCCGUGCUGCGAACAGAGAGCACUUCCCUUAAACCAUCCAGGCAUAGAAGCAUCCAUUCAUCUUAAACGUAAAGGCCUUCCGAGGAAGAGCUCUAACAAGCCUAAUUGCCCUGACUACAACCAAACAGCCCUCAUUGUCAGAAAGUUCUUUAUGUCUAAUCUCAAGCCCUCUGCCACACCAUAAACCAAUUUCCUUUCCUUUCCUCAUCCCUAGCCCUUGGGAAGCCGUUGCCAGCAGUGGUUCAGAGCAAGAGCAGCAGGGUCUCAGUCCUGGAGCUUGGCCCCCGAAUGAGCUGUGUGAUGCAGUGAGCCUGUUUCUUCAUCUGUAAAAUGGGCUCAUAAAUGCUUCCCUCACUGUUUUGUUUUGAAAAUUAAAUGAAAUACUAUGCAUAAAACACUUUACAAAGUGUUUGGCAUAUAGUACAGGCCUAAUAAACAGUAGUUAUUAUUA